CACACCCUGGCUUCUGCCGGACCAUCUUCCUUCUCUUCCCCCUCCGGGACUAGAGGAGGCCACGCGCGGCCUCUCCGAUCUCAAGGGUCCUUUUAUGUAGCACAGUCAGGCCUGGGAACAGAACUUCCUGUGAUUGUAAAAAGUCUCAGGUGCGUCCUCGUUGUUUUAGAGACUUGGAGAGGAAAGAAAAGUCGGGGCUUCUAGGACGCCUACUACGCCAAACAGACCAAAACCAGGACGGGAGGACUGAAGAUGAAGCCAGCAAAAAGUCAUCAGCCAUGGCUGUUGUACGGUGUGCGUCACCUCUCCUGCUAAGUCUUCAUCCCUGUCUACGAGGACAAAGAAGUUGAGGGGUAAGCUGGCGAUGGGCCUGCCUGUCCUUGAAGAUGCUCUUAAGUUCCAGGGAAUCUGAUGCCGCCUUCUAACCACCACGAAGACAAGUUGGUGAUAGAAAACGGGAAAACUGAAGACAGCCACUUUAUAAAACCCUUGUCUGCUUGAAUUUGUGCUGAUGGUCUUGGCCAAAAGGCUGCCAACAAUUCAGCCUAUAAAGUCUUUUUCAGAAUAUGGUGAAUUACUUGGGUGAUUAGAAGAUGAACCAAAG